UUGCACAGAGAACACCCAAGCGUGCUUUGUAGUUCAUUUGGCUUAUAGUCUGUGCUAGAAUAACAUCUGCUCUUUUCCUCUGCAUUGGAAGGAUUGUUUGUCCUUUUACAUGUAUUCAGAAGGGCAGCACAUUU
ensembl:snoRNA